rnacentral:snRNA from 1 species
AAUCUUCUGGAAUCUAUAAGCAAAAGCUUAACUUCUUCCCUGCACAAGGAUUGCUGACCUCUGUGAUAUCCCCAAAUACUGGAAACUCGACUGCAUAAUUUGUGGUAGUGGGGGAUUGCGUUCGCGAGGGUCCAGA